rnacentral:rRNA from 1 species
CCUACGGGGGGCAGCAGUGGGGAAUAUUGGGCAAUGGGCGCAAGCCUGACCCAGCAAUGCCGCGUGAAGGAAGAAGGCUUUCGGGUUGUAAACUUCUUUGACAGGGGAAGAGCAGAAGACGGUACCCUGAAAACAAGCCACGGCUAACUACGUGCCAGCAGCCGCGGUAAUACGUAGGUGGCAAGCGUUAUCCGGAUUUACUGGGUGUAAAGGGAGCGUAGACGGCAAUACAAGUCGGAAGUGAAAUACCCGGGCUCAACCUGGGAACUGCUUUGGAAACUGUAUGGCUGGAGUGCUGGAGAGGUAAGCGGAAUUCCUAGUGUAGCGGUGAAAUGCGUAGAUAUUAGGAGGAACACCAGUGGCGAAGGCGGCUUACUGGACAGUAACUGACGUUGAGGCUCGAAAGCGUGGGGAGCAAACAGGAUUAGAUACCCCAGUAGUC